CUACGGGUCGCUGCAGUGGGGAAUAUUGGACAAUGGGGGAAACCCUGAUCCAGCAAUGCCGCGUGUGUGAAGAAGGCCUGCGGGUUGUAAAGCACUUUCGGUUGGGAGGACUGCUUCUAGCACUAAUAUUGUUGGAAGUUGACGUUACCUUCAGAAGAAGCACCGGCUAACUCCGUGCCAGCAGCCGCGGUAAUACGGAGGGUGCAGCGUUAAUCGGAAUUACUGGGCGUAAAGCGCGCGUAGGCGGCUAGAUCAGUCGGGUGUGAAAGCCCCGGGCUUAACCUGGGAACUGCAUCCGAUACUGUCUAGCUUGAGUACAGGAGAGGGGAGUAGAAUUCCACAUGUAGCGGUGAAAUGCGUAGAUAUGUGGAGGAACACCAAUGGCGAAGGCAGCUCUCUGGCCUGAUACUGACGCUGAGGUGCGAAAGCGUGGGGAGCAAACAGGAUUAGAUACCCCCGUAGUC
rnacentral:rRNA from 1 species